rnacentral:rRNA from 1 species
GGGUUGUGAGGUUAAGCGACUAAGCGUACACGGUGGAUGCCCUGGCAGUCAGAGGCGAUGAAGGACGUGCUAAUCUGCGAUAAGCGUCGGUAAGGUGAUAUGAACCGUUAUAACCGGCGAUUUCCGAAUGGGGAAACCCAGUGUGUUUCGACACACUAUCAUUAACUGAAUCCAUAGGUUAAUGAGGCGAACCGGGGGAACUGAAACAUCUAAGUACCCCGAGGAAAAGAAAUCAACCGAGAUUCCCCCAGUAGCGGCGAGCGAACGGGGAGCAGCCCAGAGCCUGAAUCAGUGUGUGUGUUAGUGGAAGCGUCUGGAAAGGCGCGCGAUACAGGGUGACAGCCCCGUACACAAAAAUGCACAUACUGUGAGCUCGAUGAGUAGGGCGGGACACGUGGUAUCCUGUCUGAAUAUGGGGGGACCAUCCUCCAAGGCUAAAUACUCCUGACUGACCGAUAGUGAACCAGUACCGUGAGGGAAAGGCGAAAAGAACCCCGGCGAGGGGAGUGAAAAAGAACCUGAAACCGUGUACGUACAAGCAGUGGGAGCACGCUUCGGCGUGUGACUGCGUACCUUUUGUAUAAUGGGUCAGCGACUUAUAUUCUGUAGCAAGGUUAACCGAAUAGGGGAGCCGAAGGGAAACCGAGUCUUAACUGGGCGUUAAGUUGCAGGGUAUAGACCCGAAACCCGGUGAUCUAGCCAUGGGCAGGUUGAAGGUUGGGUAACACUAACUGGAGGACCGAACCGACUAAUGUUGAAAAAUUAGCGGAUGACUUGUGGCUGGGGGUGAAAGGCCAAUCAAACCGGGAGAUAGCUGGUUCUCCCCGAAAGCUAUUUAGGUAGCGCCUCGUGAAUUCAUCUCCGGGGGUAGAGCACUGUUUCGGCAAGGGGGUCAUCCCGACUUACCAACCCGAUGCAAACUGCGAAUACCGGAGAAUGUUAUCACGGGAGACACACGGCGGGUGCUAACGUCCGUCGUGAAGAGGGAAACAACCCAGACCGCCAGCUAAGGUCCCAAAGUCAUGGUUAAGUGGGAAACGAUGUGGGAAGGCCCAGACAGCCAGGAUGUUGGCUUAGAAGCAGCCAUCAUUUAAAGAAAGCGUAAUAGCUCACUGGUCGAGUCGGCCUGCGCGGAAGAUGUAACGGGGCUAAACCAUGCACCGAAGCUGCGGCAGCGACACUAUGUGUUGUUGGGUAGGGGAGCGUUCUGUAAGCCUGUGAAGGUGUGCUGUGAGGCAUGCUGGAGGUAUCAGAAGUGCGAAUGCUGACAUAAGUAACGAUAAAGCGGGUGAAAAGCCCGCUCGCCGGAAGACCAAGGGUUCCUGUCCAACGUUAAUCGGGGCAGGGUGAGUCGACCCCUAAGGCGAGGCCGAAAGGCGUAGUCGAUGGGAAACAGGUUAAUAUUCCUGUACUUGGUGUUACUGCGAAGGGGGGACGGAGAAGGCUAUGUUGGCCGGGCGACGGUUGUCCCGGUUUAAGCGUGUAGGCUGGUUUUCCAGGCAAAUCCGGAAAAUCAAGGCUGAGGCGUGAUGACGAGGCACUACGGUGCUGAAGCAACAAAUGCCCUGCUUCCAGGAAAAGCCUCUAAGCAUCAGGUAACAUUAAAUCGUACCCCAAACCGACACAGGUGGUCAGGUAGAGAAUACCAAGGCGCUUGAGAGAACUCGGGUGAAGGAACUAGGCAAAAUGGUGCCGUAACUUCGGGAGAAGGCACGCUGAUAUGUAGGUGAAGUCCCUCGCGGAUGGAGCUGAAAUCAGUCGAAGAUACCAGCUGGCUGCAACUGUUUAUUAAAAACACAGCACUGUGCAAACACGAAAGUGGACGUAUACGGUGUGACGCCUGCCCGGUGCCGGAAGGUUAAUUGAUGGGGUUAGCGGUAACGCGAAGCUCUUGAUCGAAGCCCCGGUAAACGGCGGCCGUAACUAUAACGGUCCUAAGGUAGCGAAAUUCCUUGUCGGGUAAGUUCCGACCUGCACGAAUGGCGUAAUGAUGGCCAGGCUGUCUCCACCCGAGACUCAGUGAAAUUGAACUCGCUGUGAAGAUGCAGUGUACCCGCGGCAAGACGGAAAGACCCCGUGAACCUUUACUAUAGCUUGACACUGAACAUUGAGCCUUGAUGUGUAGGAUAGGUGGGAGGCUUUGAAGUGUGGACGCCAGUCUGCAUGGAGCCGACCUUGAAAUACCACCCUUUAAUGUUUGAUGUUCUAACGUUGACCCGUGAUCCGGGUUGCGGACAGUGUCUGGUGGGUAGUUUGACUGGGGCGGUCUCCUCCUAAAGAGUAACGGAGGAGCACGAAGGUUGGCUAAUCCUGGUCGGACAUCAGGAGGUUAGUGCAAUGGCAUAAGCCAGCUUGACUGCGAGCGUGACGGCGCGAGCAGGUGCGAAAGCAGGUCAUAGUGAUCCGGUGGUUCUGAAUGGAAGGGCCAUCGCUCAACGGAUAAAAGGUACUCCGGGGAUAACAGGCUGAUACCGCCCAAGAGUUCAUAUCGACGGCGGUGUUUGGCACCUCGAUGUCGGCUCAUCACAUCCUGGGGCUGAAGUAGGUCCCAAGGGUAUGGCUGUUCGCCAUUUAAAGUGGUACGCGAGCUGGGUUUAGAACGUCGUGAGACAGUUCGGUCCCUAUCUGCCGUGGGCGCUGGAGAACUGAGGGGGGCUGCUCCUAGUACGAGAGGACCGGAGUGGACGCAUCACUGGUGUUCGGGUUGUCAUGCCAAUGGCACUGCCCGGUAGCUAAAUGCGGAAGAGAUAAGUGCUGAAAGCAUCUAAGCACGAAACUUGCC